ACAACAAACCUUACUACUCUACGCGUCUGCCCUCGCACGGCCACCGUCUCCACUCACAGUCUGAGUGAGUGUGUGAGAGUGAGUGUGUGAGUGAAUAAUUGAAUAGGUGAGUGAGUGGGUGGAUAGAUGAGUGACUGGAUAGGUUAGUGAAUGAGUGAGGGAGUGCAUAUUUGUGAGUGGGCAAGUUGACCAAUGACUGGAGAGGUGAACGAGUGAGGCUAUUGAGUGAGUGAGUGAGUGAGUGAGUGAGUGAGUGAGUGAGUGAGUGAGUGAGUGAGUGAGUGAGUGAGUGAGUGAGUGAAUAAUUGAAUAGGUGAGUGAGUGGGUGGAUAGAUGAAUGACUGGAUAGGUUAGUGAAUGAGUGAGGGAGUGCAUAUUUGUGAGUGGGCAAGUUGACAAAUGACUGGAGAGGUGAACGAGUGAGGCUAUUGCGUGACUGAGUGAGUGAGUGAGUGAAUAAUUGAAUAGGUGAGUGAGUGGGUGGAUAGAUGAAUGACUGGAUAGGUUAGUGAAUGAGUGAGGGAGUGCAUAUUUGUGAGUGGGCAAGUUGACAAAUGACUGGAGAGGUGAACGAGUGAGGCUAUUGCGUGAGUGAGUGAGUGAGUGAGUGAGUGAGUGAGUGAGUGAGUGAGUGAGUGAGUGAGUGAGUUUAUAGGUUUGUGAAUGGGUGUAUGUCAUUAAGGUGACAAAUGAGUGUUUGAGUGACAGAAUGAGUUUCGUUUCGUCUUCGAGCUGGCUGUUUCACUCAUUCACCAAGCAGGUAUAACGUCCUUUCUUGUCAAGUGUAGCUUCAGCUAAUGCUAGUUUAAUUAUUAUUAUUAUUAAUAUUAUUAUUACCAUGACUUAAAAAAAAAGACUCUUUCCUGCUGUUCACCCGCUUCUUGGCGUCCUGUUCUUGUCCUCCACUGUUCACGUCUUCUUCCUCUUCUCAUCUUUUCUUCCUGGCUUCUUUCCUCCUCCCUCUCCUCCUCUGAUCUUGUUUGUUUUGUCUUCUCUAUUGCAUGCUUUUUAUAAACUCUUCAAUUUGGACAACUGCAGAUGAUAUUUUGGGCACUGCCUACAGAGUGUGUGCGUGUGUGUGAUCCGGAAGGCUUGUGACCAAGUGUCUCCACGCA